AUAUGGUGUUACAUGGCAUAUAAGUGAUGCAUUUGUAUUGCACUACGCAUACUGAUAUUGGUAUGUGCAUAGCAGACUUAAGUUUACAACAGCAUUAUUUAAUAAAAGCACAAGCACGCGGCAUAUGCGGUUGCAUUCUAGCAACAAGUAUAUAUAUAUAUAUAUACUGUUGUGAUGCCAACUAUCAUUAUAUACUAAUAAUGCUUUCUAGCAACAAGCACGGCAUAUACUAAUAAUGUUUUUGUGAUGCCAACUAUCAUUAUAUAUAUAUAUAUAUAUAUAUACAUAUAUUAAUUAUGCUUUUGUGAGUGCCGAUUAUAAUGAAAUACUAUUGAUAAAGAACGA
rnacentral:lncRNA from 1 species